ACGUAGGGGGCGAGCGUUGUCCGGAAUCACUGGGCGUAAAGCGCACGUAGGCGGGCUGUCAAGUCGGCCGUGAAAGGCACGGGCUCAACCUGUGCAUGUCGGUCGAUACUGGCGGUCUGGAGUGUGGGAGAGGGGACUGGAAUUCCCGGUGUAGUGGUGAAAUGCGUAGAUAUCGGGAGGAACACCAGUGGCGAAGGCGGGUGCCUGGACAAUGACUGACGCUAAGGUGCGAAAGCGGGGAGAGCGAACGG
rnacentral:rRNA from 1 species